rnacentral:rRNA from 1 species
GGCACUAAGUGGCCUGGCGCGGGUGUAGUGCGGAGGGGGGAAGCGUUGGCCUGAAGUAUUGGGCGGAAGUGGCGGGCAGGCGGUCCUUGAAGGAUGAUGUGAAAGCCCACGGCUCAACCGUGGAGGGUCAUUGGAAACUGGGGGACUUGAGUACAGAAGAGGAAAGCGGAAUUCCACGUGUAGCGGUGAAAUGCGUAGAGAGGUGGAGGAACACCAGUGGCGAAGGCGGCUUUCUGGUCUGUAACUGACGCUGAGGCGCGAAAGCGUGGGGAGCAAACAGGAAUAGAUACCCCAGUAGUC